rnacentral:lncRNA from 1 species
ACGUGACUUCAGAUAAAUGCAAUGUUUCCCGCCGGGCAACAAGUGAAAAAUUGUUGCCCGCCCCGACCGGCCACGUACAUAAAUAAACAAAAUGGCGGCACAACUACGAUAAUUAGAAACUACGAUUUUCCAAGUUUGUGUUCAAAUAAAGAAUGUAAAAGGGAAGAAAAAUACAGAACAGGAAACAGGAUAUGCUGCCGAAACCGUUUAAGUAGGUUCUUUAAUUUUAAACUCGUUUACACUAUAGAGUUUUUGCCACGAAAAAUAAUUGUUGUAUAUAUAUGAAUGUUGUUGAUGUUGAUUUUUGUUCGUCGCUAUAUAACAAAACACUUAAUGUCUGUUCCCUCGGGAAAUAGUUAGUUUUGUUUUCCCUCGAAUCUCAAUGUUUCCCUCGACUUCGUCUCGGGAAACAUUGAGACUCUCGGGAAAACAAAACUAACUAUUUCCCUCGGGAGCAGACAUUAAGUGUAUAUUAUUAUUCUGAAAUUCAAAAAUUGAAGCCUUGAUUGGAGACUCAGGAUAUUCCCAUGAAAUGAGAAGGCUCGUAUGUUUUCUGCUUCUUAAACAGGGGACUUAAAGAUUAAGAUAAACCUAUUCGAAAUACAUAUUCAAACUAUUCAAAGUUAUUGUUGUUUUUUGAGCGUUUAUUAGCGAGUGGGAAUCUCCACAUGGGCGCCAUCUAUUCAAAUGAGGGUAACCGCUGGAAUAUUCUUGGCUUCAAUUUUGUUAAAAGAGAUGCGCUAUCUAGUGUAUAGUAUAAGAUAUCUAUGCAUGACUUCAGCCCCCUCUCAUUCAAAAUUACAUUGGCCCAGCCCCAGAAACUAUUUUAAAACUUGUGAUCUGCUCCCAAUCCAACCAGCCCACCCUCUCUCAUAAGGGAAAGUACAUUUAUUAUGCUGAGGGGGGGGGAUGAAGAUGUUAAGGGAGGGGUCCGAAAUAUUUUCUGGCAUUAAAGGGGGGGCUCUGAAAGUUCUUGAUAUACUGAAAGGGGGGGGGCUCUAAACUUUUCAAAGGUUUGACCCCAGCAAAUUAAAGUUAAAAUUUUUACAUCAGUUUCAGGUAAAAUUUGCGUAAUAAAGUAAUUAUUUUUGUGAAAUGAUAACCAUUUUUGUAAAAUACAGUCAAUUUACUUGCAAUUUGUCUGCGAAAUUUGCUUUAGAAAACGCCAGACUUCAGUCCUAGAGCUUCGAAAAUGUAAAAAUUUUCUGGGGGAGGACCCCAGACCCCCCUUUUCUCCCAAAACUUAGUAUAAGAGUGCCAAUCAAUCACAAAAAGCUUUAUUAUAAUUAUUACACGUAUAAUCCUCUGACAUCCCCCCCCACCCCAAACGUCAGAUGCUUUGCUACAUCCCUGAUAGUUGUAUUCGAAACCGAUUUCAGUUUUAAGAUAUCCUUAGUCUGCUCUUCUAAAUGGAUACAUGAAAUCACCUAUAGCUUAUUUUAAAUUUUUUUUGCGCCAGGUUUGUGAAGUAAUUUACGCGCCAAAAAGCAAAAAAGCAUAUACAAUUUGCAAGAAUGAUAUGUUUUAUGUUUAUAGGAUAUUUCGUACAAACGGGAUGGAAAUUAAAGAAAUUGAAGCAUACUGGCACUUUUGCAUGCAUUUUUGACAGGCAUGCAAAGACGUUCGCAACAGAUGCCGGGAGAUACGUUGGGUGGGGGCAACAUACUGUAAGGUUCCAGCACUUUACCCUGAUCCAGGAAAUCCUGGCCACUACAUGAACGUGUUCAAGACUCCGAAUACGCUCAAUGAUGGACAACAACAACCUGUUGAUAAUUCCACCCCUAGAGCCAAUUUAAAAUGUUUUAAAGACGGUGCCAUUUCAUCUGGCGCUAGUGAGAUGAAAGAAGCAGCAGAUCGGUAGUUUUGUUGAGGAGAAGCACUUGAGUAUAUCAGACAUCUUGAGGAACUGCAAAUUGUAUCUAUGAUAAGAGAGAAUUCCGGAUUGUACUCCUUCGAUUCCGAAUUCUAGAGGGGGGGGCAUUGAAAAUUUUAAAAACUUCGAGGGGGGCAUCGAAAUUUACCGAUAACCUCAACAGGGGCCCUGUAAAAAUAUGAGCUUUUUCAUCCCCCUCCCUCGGUGUAAUAAAUGUACUUUCCCUAAAUGUUAAGCGGUUCCUCAUAAUGAACUAAUUUGUGUGAGAAGACUGAGAAUAUGUCAUGAAAGUACAAACAUUACUUUUUAGAAACUACUUUACAGUGUUCUGGGAAUUCAACCCGGAAACGAACAAGUACUGUGUCUUUGCAAUUGUUGGCAAGACUAGAUCUUUGACUAUAGGUUAGGAAAUUUGAUUUACUGGUGUUGUACUUAAGUUGGAGGAUUUUAAUUUAUCAUCUUCAACAUUGUAUUUCAACAAAAUUGGGGUAUUUCAGAAAAGAUCAACCCUCCCCCCAAAGAGGAAAUUUGCACUGUCUGGUUGGGGGGUGGGGAGGGAAAUUUGUUUAUAGUAAUUGUUAGUGUAUUAGAAUGUUCGAAGGGCGAAGGAGGGUUACUUCCAAUUUCCUCCAUGAGAGAGGUAUGGAUGUUUUGUGUAAUGAGCCAAUGUAAAUUACUGUUCCGAUGCAUUGUUUAACAUUACAAUGCAUAUCUGUCAUGGAGAAGAUCUUUGCAAAGCAACGUAUUCUAGUAUUGAAAGAUGGAAAGUGGGCUCUAACGAUGUGGAAUUAUAUUACAGACUGCAUAUAUUUCAGAGAAUGCAAUUUCAUUCACAGAAUAUAGAGACAUGCACUCAGCAGCUAUACAGGGUGUAUAAAAAAAGCGCAAUCCUCGACUGAAAUGUAAAUUGCUAAACAAAUAAUAGACGAAAACGUUAAAGUUUACAUUCAUUUUAAAGCGUAGCCAUUCAGCUUUCUAACAGUUGGUUGUUUCUUAAAUUUGACUCAUUGGUUCGCGGGUAAUAAUACUUUACGUUAUUGCGAUUGGAGAUUAAAAAAAUUGAGAUGGAAUAACAAAUCGUUCUCAUGAAAAUAACUGAUUUUUUCAUUAAAACAAAAAAAUGUUGCAUUUUAUUAAAUGGAUUGUAACAAUAAGUAUAAUUACGGCUUUUCUUCCACUAUUUCUAACUCAGUUUGAAACUUCAAAUGCGAUAUAAUUUUGGCUUGGACCAUCUAAGCUGACUGACAUCAACUUGCUAUAAUUUCUGUUUACAUUACAUCGCAAUUCGAUGACACUCUGGCUCAGACACCAGAAUGUUUUGACGAUUUUUAGCAUUCGUUUAGGAUUUUCAAACAACCUGGUCUCUUUUAAAAUACUUUUAAUUUGUUCUUACGUGGUUUUCCAGAUGUAGUGACGACAACAUUAAAGUUUAAAGAAGAAAAUUCUAACAUUUAAACCAACUAAACAAUAACAUAGUAAACUUGCAUAAUUAAACAGCAACUAAAAAUGAUAGGUUUUACUAAAUCUUUUCCUGUGCAAUUAUUACUAGCAUUGGAGACAAGGAUAAUAGUUUGUUUGAAAGAGAAAAGAACAGGAUUUGAAGUAAGCCUAAAAGCGUUUAACUAGAAAUAGUAUUUCGAAAGUUAUUAAGCACAAAAGAUGAAUUGCGUUUAUUUUGAUACACCCUGUAUAAUCCAUUUUUUUACACAGUACUAAAUUCGUCCCAAACACGGACACUGUUUUUUGUUUUGUAAUUUUUAGAUAUUUACCAAACGAAAAAAUACAUAAUCACCCGAGGAAAACCGGGGGUGCCAUUGGACAGCUAGCUGUCGAUAGCAAGAUCUGGUGAAAAACCUUGGCGAUUACGAGUCCGGAUGGUGGAAAACCGUACCCUGGGGGCAAUACCAAAAUCCAGAAAAGUACAAAAUCUUGCAAAAAAAAUGGUAAUGUUUAUUGACACAUAAUUUACAAUGUGUUUACAAUAUAAGGAUAUAAAAAGCGUAUAUUUAUUUACAUCAUGC